ACGAACGCUGGCGGCGUGCCUAAUACAUGCAAGUAGAACGCUGAAGGAGGAGCUUGCUUCUCUGGAUGAGUUGCGAACGGGUGAGUAACGCGUAGGUAACCUGCCUGGUAGCGGGGGAUAACUAUUGGAAACGAUAGCUAAUACCGCAUAAUAUUGACUAUUGCAUGAUAGUCAGUUGAAAGGUGCAACUGCACCACUACCAGAUGGACCUGCGUUGUAUUAGCUAGUUGGUGGGGUAACGGCUCACCAAGGCGACGAUACAUAGCCGACCUGAGAGGGUGAUCGGCCACACUGGGACUGAGACACGGCCCAGACUCCUACGGGAGGCAGCAGUAGGGAAUCUUCGGCAAUAGACGGAAGUCUGACCGAGCAACGCCGCGUGAGUGAAGAAGGUUUUCGGAUCGUAAAGCUCUGUUGUAAGAGAAGAACGAGUGUGAGAGUGGAAAGCUCACACUGUGACGGUAUCUUACCAGAAAGGGACGGCUAACUACGUG
rnacentral:rRNA from 1 species